rnacentral:lncRNA from 1 species
CAGUGUUAAGCAGACAUAAACAAGCAAAUUUCUAAAAUAUUUUAUAACAUUAAAGGUGGAAAUGUAUUGGAUUCAAAAAAAAAAUAAAUAAAUAAUAAUAAUCAGUGGCGGACCCAGGAUUUUUUUCCAAUGGGGUCCAUUUUUUUCAGUAUUCGUUCUACAUUCCUGCACAAACUUGAUGUUCACUCAUCAGUGAAGAAGUGAGCUAACAUAACCACCGGAAUGGGUUUGCUGGUCAAGAUACUAACUCAAAGUUCACAUAUCAGAUACAAUGAGCAAAAGAGGAUUCAAAAGUUUUAUUUAAUUUACCCUCAUAAUAAAGACUCCUGUUACGCAGGGGUGUUCACGGUCUGAUUCGACCAGAUUUGACGAACAUUCUGGGUCAAACCGCUAACUAUCGUUUAAUGGGGAACGACAAACCAAACCAGCCAGGUUGGGUGGAUUGGCCAGACUAAUCAGAAGUAAAAUGGUUCCAUCCCAAGAACAAAAGAAAAAUAUAUAUACAAAUAAUAUAAGUUAAACGAUCAGGUCCCAACUGCACCAAACGGAUAAACCAGCAAACCACCAAAACCAAAUGGUAAACUGAACCGUUUGGACCUCAAACUGCCCAACCUGGCCGACUUUCUUCAGUUUGCGGGACGAUUUCAACUGUUUUUAUAAACACACUAUGUUUAACCACACAUUCAUCAAAUACAAGGAUCAUAAAAUGACAUGACUAACUAAAAACAUCUUACAACACAAAAACCCUAAUUGGUCAAACUUCACCACUUAUCUCACAAACUAAAAUUAUUAUUAAAUUCAAAAAAAAAAAUCAUUUCAACAUUUAUAAAUUAACAUUAUAAGAGAUCGACCAAACCCGAUCAAAAGCACAUAAUUCAAAGCCACAAUAUCGCUGAAAUUCAAAAUGAUUGAGAUUCAUUCAAGUCAAACUAUCUUAACGAUCAAAAAACAGCAAUUAUUAUGAAU